CAGUAGCCGCGGGAAUACGGAGGGUGCAAGCGUUAAUCGGAAUUACUGGGCGUAAAGCGCACGCAGGCGGUCUGACAAGUCAGAUGUGAAAUCCCCGGGCUUAACCUGGGAACUGCAUUUGAAACUGUCGGGCUGGAGUCUUGUAGAGGGGGGUGGAAUUCCAGGUGUAGCGGUGAAAUGCGUAGAGAUCUGGAGGAAUACCGGUGGCGAAGGCGGCCCCCUGGACAAAGACUGACGCUCAGGUGCGAAAGCGUGGGGAGCAAACAGGAUUAGAUACCCGCGUAGUCCCUGUCUCUUAUAC
rnacentral:rRNA from 1 species